GUUGCUUUGGCCGAGUGGUUAAGGCGUGUGGCCUGCUAAGUGCAUGGGGUUUCCGGUUCCCGCGAGAGUUUCGAAUCUCUCAGGCAACG
rnacentral:tRNA from 1 species